GAUCAUGGCUCAGGAUGAACGCUAGCUACAGGCUUAACACAUGCAAGUCGGAGGGGCAGGCAUGGUCUUAGCUUGCUAAGGCCGAUGGCGACCGGCGCACGGGUGAGUAACGCGUAUCCAACCUGGCCUUACACUCUUGGACAGCCUUCUGAAACGGGAGAUUAAUACAAGAUGUUAUCAUGAGUAAAGCAUUUUCGCAUGGAUUAAAGGUUUACCGGUGUAAGAUGGGGAUGCG
rnacentral:rRNA from 1 species